UACGAAGGGUGCAAGCGUUACUCGGAAUUACUGGGCGUAAAGCGUGCGUAGGUGGUGAGUUAAGUCUGUCGUGAAAGCCCCGGGCUCAACCUGGGAAUGGCGAUGGAUACUGGCUCGCUAGAGUGCGGUAGAGGAGAGUGGAAUUCCCGGUGUAGCAGUGAAAUGCGUAGAGAUCGGGAGGAACAUCAGUUGCGAAGGCGGCUCUCUGGACCAGCACUGACACUGAGGCACGAAAGCGUGGGUAGCGAACAGG
rnacentral:rRNA from 1 species